UUGGCUUUCGAAGACCUUAGAAAGGCAGGGUAGGAUAGAUAUAGGUCUGUAACAGUUUGGGUCAAGAGUGUCUCCCCCUUUGAAGAGGGGGAUGACCGCGGCAGCUUUCCAAUCUUUGGGGAUCUCAUAUGAUACGAAAGAGAGGUUGAACAGGCUAGUAAUAGGGGUUGCAACAAUUUCGGCGGAUAAUUUUAGAAAGAGAGGGUACAGAUGUAUGUCUUGAUCAGCAACUGAUUAGCUGGCAGAGGAACAAAAGUGGAUACACCCUGUUGUGUUCCUGUGACCACUGGAUGCUAAAGACCCAUCUUUCCCCUCUUCACCUGGUGUGCUGAGCUCCAGCGCUGUGAAGGUGCUUCCCUCUGAGAACCCAGGCAGUGGGGACAACACAUUGACCCUAACCUCCAUUAAAGAGGUCAACUUGGGGGUGUAUGUGGUUCAGAGCACCAGCCCAAAGCUCACAGCCACUUCCACCUUCACUGUGAUAGGUGUCACAUCAGCUGACACAUCAGACACAUCAGCUGAUCUUACUAUUAGAUUAGUUAGAUUAGUAAUAUCCUGCAGGCCCUGUGGGUCUCUAUUGUAACUACUGUUAAGAUAGCCUGGCUUGUACCAUGACUUGCAGUGUAAUACAACAAUUUUGCCUGUCUGAUAUGGCGUAGAGAUACUGGUUUCAUUUGAGUGUGUACCUAUGUGUGUCCUUGUCUCUGUUUGUACUUUUGUGUGUGUGUGUGCAUAGAAAUGCUGACUUAAUUGAUGACAAUGUCUGUGUUGGCAUUUUGUCAGGGCCAGGUGAGUGAUGACUUGACUGUUGGCCUUAAUCGUCUACAUCAAGCUGUGUGAAUUGAGUAUGGUUGUUUGAAGGUCAGCCGUACUCAAAUGGCUUGUAUUGGUAGAAUUCUGCAAGUCACCAUUGUUAUAGACACAUUUUUAAUGGAAACUGGUUGUCUUUGUCAUUUUCCAGCAUGGUGUUCCCUCUGGUUUCUGUUAAGUGUCCCCCCCUCUCUCUCUCUCUUUCCCUCUCUAUCUCACCCACAUUACCUGUUUCUGCUGUGAGACUGGUGGCCAACAACACAGACGACUUAGUGGAGUUCAAUGGAACAACUGACCCUCUACAUCUCAAUAUCAGCAAUGGUCCAGACGGUGUGUCCUUCACGGUCUUCAACAACAAAACCAUGAGAUACAGCAAUGUCACCAGACAGAUCACCAUCAGCAGUGGGUCAGUGUCAGUACAGUUGGAGAUCAAUGCCAAGAAAUGCAUUCAGUUAAGUGAUAAGGAAUGACUCUUCACAGCAACACUGCGUGUGAGCUGAAUCUGCUGGGUGGGACCACUAUACCAUUAUUCAGACGAAUGUCAUUUACCUGUCAGAAACACGAAGAUCGUCACCAAGUUCUGGAUGUUUUUAGCUUUACAGACAAACAAAACUCAUGACAUAGUGUUCUUGGAAGACACUAUUAAAUACCUUCAAAUUACAACUUUAGCUCUAAAGAUUAUCCACAGAAUUACAAUAAUUCUAUGUGGCAGUUAUCUUGUUCUUGGCCCUCAUGCCCAGUAGUAAUACCCAGACACCCGAUACUACUACUCCUAAAUAUAGUCUACGUUUGGUUAUAUAGUGAGAUAUACAGUGAGCUCCAAAAGUAUUGGGACAACGACACAUUUGUUGUUGUUUUGUCUCUACUCCAGCACUUUUCCAUAUAGGGUACAUCGUUUAGAAAUUACAGCACUUUUUGUAAAUAGUCCCCCCCAUUUUAGGGGACCAAAAGUAUUGGGACAAAUUCACUUAUGAGUAUUAAAGAAGCCAAAAGUUUAGUAUUUGGUCCCAUAUUCCUAGCAUGCAAUGACUACAUCAAUCGUGUGACUCUACAAACUUGUUGGAUGCAUUUACUGUUUGUUUUGGUUGUGUUUUCUAUUAUUUUGUGCCCAAUAGAAAUGAAUGGUAAAUAAUGUAUUGUGUCAUUUUGGAGUCACUUUUAUUGUAAAUAAGAAUAGAGUAUGUUUCUAAACAUUUCUACAUUUAAUCAUAUGCAAAAGGUGCUGUAAUUUCUAAAUGGUUCACCCGAUAUACAGUAGAUGAAAAGACCCUCAAUGUCAAGGAACCCUCCGGUACUGUUGCUCAUUCCGUGCACCAGUUUCGGCGGUCUACGUCACCGGCCUCUAGGCACUGAACUGUCUAAUUACGCACACCUGGUUCCUAUUUCCCACUGAUUGUAUUGGUAUAAAUGUGCCCUUUGUUCGCCGUUGGGCUGUCGAUUAUUGUUCCAAUGUCUGUUGGUUGUGUGAGUAGCUGUGCCUUAUUGUUUUGGCUUUCGUGCCGCUUGUAUUGUGCAGAUGAUCACGGGUCUCCUUCUGUAUUGUGUCAUUGUGUGCUUGUGUUUUCGGGUCUCAUCCCGUGCACUUAUUUUGCUCUUCGUUUGGGUCUCAACCCUGUGUUUUGUAUACUUGUUUGUUUGGUCUUCGUCCCCAUGCCUUUACAUGGCAUGCUGUAAUUUGGGUAGUAAUAACAAAAACUGUUACGCAUUCCUGCGCCUGUCUCCCUAUGCUUUCUACCAACGUGACACUCAAAUUAAAGCUGACAGUCUGCACUUUAACCUCAUAGUCAUUGUAUCAUUUAAAAUCCAAAGUGCUGUAGUACAGAGCCAAAACAACAAAACAUGUGUCACUGUCCCAAUACUUUUGGAGCUCACUGUGUCCUGUAUAAAGAGCCUGAUCAAAAUGUACACUGUGAGUCCUUCAUUUGCUGUGGUGCAAUAGUCAGUGCGUCACAGUUUGUCACACUUUGUGUGUAAAGGUGACCUUGUGUGUGUUUAGGUGUGUUACUCUCUUUCAGGUGGGUUGUGGGUUCUAGUCCCAGAUACAAUUAAUCAUAUCUAUUGUGUCUGACACCUGUGUUGUAUUAAUGUAGAUUUAAAUGAAAACCCCAAGCCAGUAUGGAAGCCCAGAGAUUAGUAUUGAAAUUACUCUCUAUCAAGGGAUAGGUGGCAUUUUUUGAAAAUACAUUUUACCAUUUGGUAAAUUUCCAACUUCCUUGUAUCGCAACCCUGUUCAUCUCUCCAGACCAGGAUGGUUACGGUAUUUAUGUCUGACCUUAGAGUUAUUUACAGCUGGACCGUGUAGAUACAGUAAACAGUGACUAGAGUGAUGUGUGUGGAGGCAGAACCUGUGGUUAGUGGUUUGUAUAAUAAAGGGUAAACAGAGAGACAGACGGAUUCAUGUCUCUAUUAAAUCCCAGUCAAUAUUACUGACUGCGAAGCAGUCCAUGAGCAAACAUGCAAUAAUAAAGGCACAGCAAAAGGCUUUGAUGUAGAUGGCAUAUUCACUCUUAGACAAAAGGAUUCCAAAAGGGUUCCUUGAUAAGGGAUAGGGUUCUGCCAAUAACCAUUUUCAUCUGAAGAACCCUUUUUGGAAGACGAGGGUUCUUUGUAAGGCAAAGGGUUCUACCUAAAAUCUUUUGCAUCCUUCUAAGAAAGGUUUCUCCCCUAAAACCUUUUUACAUCCUUCUAAAGAAAGGGUUCUACCUAAAACCUUUUUACCAUCCUUCUAAGAAAGGGUUCUACCACCUUUUUACCAUCCUUCUAAGAAAGGGUUCUAUCUAAAACCUUUUUUCUUUGAUGAUACUUUGGAAGUCAAGAAGGGUUCUAGAUGAAUAAGCUUUUUAUAGUCUUUUUUUCUUUAUAUUUAAUAGUAAAAUAAGACUUGAAAUGUCUAUAUUUGUAAAAAUUUUAUGAGUGCAAUAUUUAAAGUUAAUUUCAAAUCAUUUUUUGUUGAUGUUGUUUUGUGUCUUGUCACUUUUGUUUCUUGUUUAUUUAACUUAAUUUGGCUGUUUAAACAUGUUUCCCAUGCCAAUAAAGUCCCUUUGAAUUGAA